AAGGCCAGUGACGCCAAGAAGAAACAAAUAGGCGAGGGUGAGGAGAAUGGCGAGGAUGAUGAGGAAGAACAAGAGGAGCAGGAAGGUGGAGGAGGUGACGACGAUGAUGACGACGACGACGACGAUGACAAUGAGGACGAUGACGAUGAUGACGAUGAAGUCGCUGCUGAAGACGAUGAGGAUGGAGUAGAAGAGGAGGAUGACGACCAGGACAACGACAAUGACGAGGAGGACGACGACGAGGACUCGCUCCAGCCCCCGAAGAAGAGGAAGAAGUGAAGCCCUUCGACGCGGCUGCUUUAGUCACCAUGCGAUGAGAUGUGCCUGUUCUUCACUGUGUUCUGGAAACUUUCCUUAGAGUUAAAAAUGCCCCACACGAUCACAAUGUGUGGGCUUGUAGGAGCGAUUAGAGGGAACUUUGUUGUCAUCGUUGUUUUGCUUCUGUGGAGUUGAUCGAACAGAUGUUUCGCUAACAUAAUUGUACCCGAGUGGCGAAAGCCUCAAGAUUUGAAUAUGUCAGUCAACUCUUUUUAUCUCCUUCCGGCAUCGUUCUGUGCAAUCUUGUUCAGAACACAUUGUGUUGGUAGCUCCUUAAAUAAGGCCAAAUCACAUUGUUGAUAGCUCCUGGAUUUAUCGUGGGUGCUGUCUG
rnacentral:lncRNA from 1 species